CUCGGUGUAGCUCAGUUGGGAGAGCGCCUGCUUUGGGAGCAGGAAGUCAGAGGUUCGAGUCCUCUCACCGAGACCA
rnacentral:tRNA from 2 species